rnacentral:misc_RNA from 1 species
AAAAUGCGAUAAGUAAUGUGAAUUGCAGAAUUCAGUGAAUCAUCGAAUCUUUGAACGCAAAUUGCGCCCGCCAGUAUUCUGGCGGGCAUGCCUGUUCGAGCGUCAUUUCAACCCUCAAGCCCCCGGGUUUGGUGUUGGGGAUCGGGCUGCGGUUCUACCGCGUCCCGGCCCCGAAAUCUAGUGGCGGUCUCGCUGCAGCCUCCAUUGCGUAGUAGCUAACACCUCGCAACUGGAACGCGGCGCGGCCAAGCCGUUAAACCCCCAACUUCUGAAUGUUGACCUCGGAUCAGGUAGGAAUACCCGCUGAACUUAAGC